rnacentral:rRNA from 1 species
CGGAACGGGUGAGUAACGCGUGAGGAACCUGCCUCAAAGAGGGGGACAACAGUUGGAAACGACUGCUAAUACCGCAUAAGCCCACGACCUGGCAUCGGGUUGAGGGAAAAGGAGCAAUCCGCUUUGAGAUGGCCUCGCGUCCGAUUAGCUAGUUGGUGAGGUAACGGCCCACCAAGGCAACGAUCGGUAGCCGGACUGAGAAGUUGAACGGCCACAUUGGGACUGAGACACGGCCCAG